rnacentral:lncRNA from 1 species
AUGGCUAUAAUGUAUACAAAGUCGAAAUAUCAUUCUACCUAUAGUCUAUCCUAUACAUGCCUUAAACCAUGAUGAUAUACAAUCUUCUCAACUCACAUAAUGACUCGAUAGUGUGAUGAUAUCUCCGGCUCUUCCAACUCGAAUUAAAGGAUAAACCUAUAAGAAAUGGAAAAGAGAACACGGAGUAAGCUUCAAUGCUUAGUAAAUUUUAAGCAAUGCAAACAAUUAAUUUACUUAUAGAUCGAUUAUUUCAAAUUUUCAAGAAAUCAUUCCUAGGUAAUUGCCAUUUUGGCCAAGUAUCCAUGAACAUAAUGCAUAUUUA